GAUGAACGCUGGCGGCGUGCUUAACACAUGCCAGUCGAACGGAAAGGCUCCUGCUUGCAGGGGUACUCGAGUGGCGAACGGGUGAGUAACACGUGGGUGAUCUGCCCUGCACUUCGGGAUAAGCCUGGGAAACUGGGUCUAAUACCGGAUAGGACGAUGGUUUGGAUGCCAUUGUGGAAAGUUUUUCGGUGUGGGAUGAGCUCGCGGCCUAUCAGCUUGUUGGUGGGGUAAUGGCCUACCAAGGCGUCGACGGGUAGCCGGCCUGAGAGGGUGUACGGCCACAUUGGGACUGAGAUACGGCCCAGACUCCUACGGGAGGCAGCAGUGGGGAAUAUUGCACAAUGGGCGCAAGCCUGAUGCAGCGACGCCGCGUGGGGGAUGACGGCCUUCGGGUUGUAAACUCCUUUCGCUAGGGACGAAGCGCACGUGACGGUACCUGGAGAAGAAGCACCGGCUAACUACGUG
rnacentral:rRNA from 1 species